UACAGAGGUCCCAAGCGUUGUUCGGAUUUACUGGGCGUAAAGGGUGCGUAGGUGGCGAGGUAAGUUCGAUGUGAAAUCUCCGAGCUCAACUCGGAAAUGGCAUUGAAUACUAUCCCGCUUGAGGGUCGGAGGGGAGACUGGAAUUCUCGGUGUAGCAGUGAAAUGUGUAGAGAUCGGGAGGAACACCGGUGGCGAAGGCGGGUCUCUGGGCAUCUCCUGACGCUGAGACGCGAAAGCGUGGGGAGCAAACAGG
rnacentral:rRNA from 1 species